rnacentral:rRNA from 1 species
UAGGGAAUCUUCGGCAAUGGACGAAAGUCUGACCGAGCAACGCCGCGCGAGUGAAGAAGGUUUUCGGAUCGUAAAACUCUGUUGUUAGAGAAGAACAAGGACGUUAGUAACUGAACGUCCCCUGACGGUAUCUAACCAGAAAGCCACGGCUAACUACGUGCCAGCAGCCGCGGUAAUACGUAGGUGGCAAGCGUUGUCCGGAUUUAUUGGGCGUAAAGCGAGCGCAGGGGGUUUCUUAAGUCGGAUGUGAAAGCCCCCGGCUCAACCGGGGAGGGUCAUUGGAAACUGGGAGACUUGAGUGCAGGAGAGGAGAGUGGAAUUCCGUGUGUAGCGGUGAAAUGCGUAGAUAUAUGGGGGAACACCAGUGGCGAAGGCGGCUCUCGGGUCUGUAACUGACGCUGAGGCUCGAAAGCGUGGGGAGCAAACAGG